CGUAGCAGUUGUCAGUCGUAUUCUUAUAUUCUUGAUUUUCUAUCGUCGAAUAUGCUUUUUAGUUUUAAGUAGACAGGAUGCAACAUUUCCAGCACUAACGCACAUCAGAAUUUCAAAGUUGAGCAUACUGGUAUAAAGGACUUGCUUUCUAUCCAAACAAAUGGUAGAGUUGAAAGCGAAAUCUCGCAAGAACGAGAGUAAUACUGACGCCGUAGAGACACCUACACCAACUUUCUCGCAUUGGUCUGGCCCCUUCUUCUUUGUUACAUGCGACACGUAUACACCAACUUUCUCCCGGAAAAGCACGGUUUUUAGAUCAACGUUGUUUUCCCUCUCCCUUUCAUGUGAUUGCGACUUUUGUCAUUCAUCGCGUGGGGCAGGCUCUUUGAAGCAAACAGGUUUGGCGGGAACCGGAACAGUCGUCCACUUCAUUCUUUGAUUCAAAUAACACCAACCAGAUAGAAAUGAGAGGAGGGACUCAGGGAUGUCUCUGGGACCUUCCACCAGAAAGGUUUGUACUAUGCGUAAAAUUUUUCUAGCGAUCACUCUUUCCGACCGUCCGAUAUACUUGUGAAAUGGUGGCCAAUCGCCACGCCCCAUCGUCUGUGGUCUUGAUCCUUUUCCUUUCCAAAGUUCUUCUUCUUCUUUUUUUUUUUUUUUGAGGUCCAAAACGGGUGUGUGUUCUGAAUUGUGAAAAGAAGAAGCUCAUUACUCCCAACAUCUGCUCGUUGCUGCACUAGUUAAAAGGCCUGCUCUGCUGCGUGGACGUCGCUGCGCCCCUCGUAGCAACCUCCUUUUCUUUCCUGUAUUCCAUUUCCUUCCGCCUACUGAGCCUCCUUUUUGCCUUGGUUAGAGGAUCCGAGCUCUCCCCACGGCUUCAUGGACAGGAACAGAGACUUGCAAGAUAUAGUGGCAAUGCAGUUGACAUCUCCUUUUUCAGGUCUACAGAGAUCUAGAACAUGGAGACUUAUGCUUGGUCUCUGCUGGUUUCUGCUUCAUCUACUGGUUAAGCUGCAUCAUCUGGUCAUACGAAUAGCUCGCAAGUUACAAUGCUAUCUUAUCCUGAUUGGGUAUAUGUUUAACUGCGUCCGACUAGGACUAAAUAAACUUCAAUCUGUAGCUAUUGUGGUGGACAGUGAAGAAGCUUUUCAGAUCUCAAAAAUAUUUAGUCUUGUUCGCUGGUUAUCAAAAUUUGGUGUGAAGCAUAUUUCUCUUUACGAUAUGGAUGGAGUUUUAAAAGAGUCAAAGAAAUUUCUCGUCAAAAAUUGGGCUGAUCUGAGUCCACGAGAGUGGAAGGAAGUUGAUAAGAAAGUUGGAUCUCGUCAUCAGAAGUCUGUGGACCUGGAAUGGUUGUCCUUUUCUGAUGGGAAGGAAGCAGUUGUUAGGGCCAGCAUGUAUAUCUGCUCCAACUACUCAAAACCUGUGACUGCUGAUGCACCACAAACCAAGCAAACGCUUACAGAGGCUGAUCUGGACAAAGCACUGAGAGCAGUUGGUUGGCUUCGUAUCUCUCUUGCCCUGUUCUUGCGGACCAGAACCUGAUCUCCUCUUCAUAUUUGGGCCUGCGAGAUGCCAUUUAGGUUUCCCAGCAUGGAGAUUGAGAUACACAGAAAUCAUACAUAUGGGGAAGCUGAGAUCGUUGUCUUUCAGUGCCGUACUGAAGGUACUCUAUGACUUUUCAAAGAAACAUCAGAAUUAUGGCAAGUAGAUGCUGGAUAAGACUUAAGGGUAUUCAUGUAUUUAAAUAUAUAAAACAUAUGAUUCUACCCUAGUGCCUGGUGCUUGUUGAAUUCAAUAUAAAUCAGAAAUUGAUUCUGUCACAUGUAGAUGAGCUUAAAUGUGUCCGGACCUUCUAUUUA